rnacentral:lncRNA from 1 species
GCCGACGAGGGCCACGGGGAAGCCGCGCCCGCCUUGCCGCCUGCCCCCCCCCCCCGCCCCUGUCGAAAUGGCGGCCGCCGGGGAGGCUUCUCCUCCCUCCCUUCCUGCCCUCUCAGAGGGAAAGACAGCCACCUUUUCCUGCCCUCAGAGCGAGGCGUGUCCCCACAAGAUGGGCGCGUUGGGUGGCACCCACCACCCCUUCCCUUCCUUUUUCUUCUUUCUCAUCCCUUCCCCUUCCCCUCGUUUUUCUUCCUUUCCCUCCCCUUUCGUUUCCGUUUCCUUCCGUGCUUUUGCCUUCCCCUCCUUUUCCUCCCUUCCCUUCCUUUCUCUUCCUUUUCCUUCCCGUCCCUUCCUUUGAUUUUUCCUUUCCCUUCCUACCUUUGCCUUCCACUCCCUUUCGUCCUUUCCUUCCCUUCCCCCACCUUUUCUUUCCCUUCCCUUCCUUUCCCUUCCCUUUCCUUUCUUUUUCCUUCCUUUCCUUUCCCUGCCUUUGCAUUCCCCUCCUUUUCCUUCCUUCCCUUCCUUUUCCUUCCUCUCCCCCUCCUUUCCUUUUCCUUUCCUUCCCUUCCCUUGCCUUCAUUCCAUUUCCUUCUCCUUCCCCCUUCCCUUAUCCUUCCUUGCCUUGCCUUCCCCUCCUUUCCUUCCCCUUCCUUUCUUUUUCCUUCCAUUACCCUUCCUUUUUCCUUUCCUUUCCCCCCUCCUUUUUCUUCCUUCCUUCCCUUCCUUUCUUUACCUUUUCGUUCCCCUCCUUUUAUUUCCUUUCCUUUCCUGUCUUUGCCUUCCACUCCUUUUCCUUCCUUCCCUUCCCUUUCUUUCCCUUUCUUUCCAUCCUUUUCCUUCUUUUCCCCUCCUUUUCCUUCCUUCUCUUCCCCUUCCCUUUCCUUUCCUCCUCUUUUGGUAGUGGAGACUUGUCUGUGUGUGUGUUUGCGUGGGGUGCCUCAUUCCCUUUCCAGAAAGAAGGGCUUACCUGUCAGCCAAGAUUUUAAUUAUUAUUAUUUUUAUUAUUAUUAUUUUAUGAAGGCAAAUAUACCCCCCCCCCCAAUCCUGCAUGUCACCAAAGUGUCUGGUUUUAUUUUUAAGGACCCCCUCCCCCGAUCAAAUCUGGCCAAAAAAAGCCCCAUAUAUAAAAGCAGGCUUUUGGAGAUAAUCAGUCUUAAAUGGAAGUAUUUUAGUAAGAUCUGUAGUUUUAACAUGUUUAAUGCUUUUAUUCCAGCAAGAGAAGCUAUUUUUGAUGUUGAUGUUAUAUUAUGGUCUUAUAUGCAAUGGUUCUAUUUUAAGUUAUGUUACUUUGAUCUAUGUACUAUUUUUUGUAUUGUUUUAACUGUUACUUGCUAUAAGCACCCUGAGUCCUUUCUGGGAGAGAGGACGGGAUAUAAAUAA